rnacentral:rRNA from 1 species
UACAGAGGUCCCAAGCGUUGUUCGGAUUCACUGGGCGUAAAGCGUGCGUAGGUGGCAAGAUAAGUUCGGUGUGAAAGCUCCGGGCCUAACCCGGAAAGGUCAUCGAAAACUAUCUCGCUAGAGGAUUGGAUGGGAGACUGGAAUUCUCGGUGUAGCAGUGAAAUGCGUAGAUAUCGAGAGGAACAUCAGUGGCGAAGGCGAGUCUCUGGACAACUCCUGACACUGAGGCACGAAAGCUAGGGGAGCAAACAGGAUUAGAUACCCCCGUA